GGACUCGAGAGCACAACAGUGAUUCUGCUCUUGCCCUACCUCUUCAAUGAGGACCCGAGUGGCCUUUAUGUCCGUGACAAGAUUUCACCGCUCCUCACUCCUUUACUGCACAUCGGCGGAAAUCCAUUUCACCAUGAGAGUGAAAUCCCGCUGGCCUUUGAUGGGGAGAACAUCCACGCCCUCGAGGACGUCCCCAUGGGACUUGGGGCUCUGCUACGGCUGUAUUUUAAAAUUUAUGUUCUAAAGUUACUGUGUUCUGGGGAUAAGAGAAGUUGGGGUGAAGUUACCAGGGCCGGUCAUAAAGAUGGCAAACUUCCUAACAUAACUAAGUGGAUACGAUAUACACACUAAAGCUGAAAAAUCUGUAUUUAGCAUCAAGUCUACAAUAUUGUUAGUUUACCUAUGAUUUAUUUUUAAUGUAUGUUGUUUUUAUUGUACAUCAUUAUUUUAGAUUUUUUAAAUGUCAUGAAAAGCACUAUACAAAGUAAAUGUAUUAUUUAUUAUGGUC